GUCAAAACGACUCUCGGCAACGGAUAUCUCGGCUCUUGCAUCGAUGAAGAACGUAGCGAAAUGCGAUACUUGGUGUGAAUUGCAGAAUCCCGUGAACCAUCGAGUCUUUGAACGCAAGUUGCGCCCAAAGCCAUUAGGCUAAGGGCACGCCUGCCUGGGUGUCACUAAU
rnacentral:rRNA from 2 species